AAUUUAUUUUAUACACACUGUGAUCAUAGUCAUUAAGGAUUUUGUUCUGCAUCAAAUACAUUUCGAGUUAUGACAAUCGUGCAAAUGUUUUUUGCUGUUUUUUAAUUUCAAAAUGACGAAGUACUCAUGCACAAUGAAUUAAUUAUUAAGUGCCGGUCUUGGUAGAAUGUGCAUGGCUAUUACAUCACACAAUUUUCAUACAUGAUACUUCCAUCAUUCGACAAUUUCAUAAUAUUUUCAAUUUUAUCAUGCCAUAAAAUUCAGUCAAUGCUUUUCGAAUAAAAGAUUCUGCAG
rnacentral:lncRNA from 1 species